AUAGUCUUGGUCCUGAACUUACCGUUAUUUUUUAUUGGGAUUAUACAUGCAAGCCUCAGCAAACCAGUGAAAAUGCCCACAACCCCCACCAAUAGAGGAAGUGGAGCAGGCAUCAGGCACCACACCUAACCCAGCCCAAAACGCCUUGCCACGCCACACCCCCACGGGCCAACCAGCAGUAAUAAACAUUGGGCAAUGAGUGUAAACUUGACCCAGCCACAAUAAUUUUAAACCGGGCCGGUAAAUUUCGUGCCAGCCACCGCGGUUAUACGAAAGGCCAAAAAUAACGGCACAACGGCGUAAAAUGUGACUAGAGAACUAUAAUAUUUAAAAACUUAUAACUCAUUAUGUAGUAGUAGAAUACUAAACUAAUGAGGAAGCCCACCCACAAGUUUUUAAUAUUAUUACCUUGACCACACGAAAGCUUAGAAACAAACUAGGAUUAGAUACCCUACUAUGCUAAGCCAUAAACAUUGAUAGUUAAAUAUACAAUACUUUCCGCCAGAGAACUACAAGUGAAAAACUUAAAACUCAAAGGACUUGGCGGUGUCCCACAUUCGACCUAGAGGAGCCUGUCCUAUAAUCGAUACUCCCCGCUCUACCUCACCAGCACUAGCACCAACUUCAGCCUAUAUACCGCCGUCGACAGCUUACCCCCUGAGGGUUUAACAGUAAGCACAAUAGUCCUACCACUAACACGUCAGGUCAAGGUGUAGCUAAUGUGCUGGCAGAGAUUGGCUACAUUUUUUAUUUUAAAAAACACGAAAUGCUAUAUGAAAAACAGCAUGAAGGCGAAUUUAGUAGUAAAACAGACAAGAGAGUCUGCUUUAACAACGCUCUGGGACGCGUACACACCGCCCGUCACCCUCCUCAACAACAACAAAAACAAUACAUAAAUCAACCGCACCCUAAAACAGAUGAGGUAAGUCGUAACAUGGUAAGCGUACCGGAAGGUGUGCUUGGACUAAC
rnacentral:ncRNA from 1 species